AUGGUGUUACGCUGAACCAGGUGCUGCACCAGAAAGGUAUCAACCUCCGAUACCUCGGCCAGCUGACCAUGGUUAUCAGCCAAUCGGAACACAAGGACUGGCUCCGACACAUAACGGUCAGACUCAACUCACACGUACACCAACACAACGGUGCUCAUAGGACAGGAUGUACGCGCUGUGAUAAGUGACUUUUCUAAGCUUCAUGCUCUUUCUUUUUUCUCUCUCAGAGGUUGGCUGUGGGAGAGAUUGUGGUUCGUUCCUCCAGAAGGAUCUUCAACAACUUCCUCCAGAGUGUGGAGGUGUCAAGUCUCUCUGCAGCCGUCAGUCACAUCCUCUGCUGCCUAUUGGUUUCCCACUACAGCAGCACCCCUGCAGGGGAGGAGCCUAAGAAAAGGUUCAGAAGGCGGGGUCGUGGUGGAGCAGCUUCAGACGGCGCAGCCUGGAGUGCGCUCAAUGGAGCCGCGGUCUGGAACCUGAUUGGCCAGGACGCAGCGUAGACCUAUGAUAUCACUCACAGCCUGGGUUCUACUGCUGACCACCUGGUGGAGACGUAUGGGCUGCAAAUGGUCUCUCUGCUUAGAGAGUUCUGUUUGAAGGCUGGAAUACAGCUGCGACUGAGAGAGUACUUAUUCGACAACCAAACGAAGGCUCCCGUUGGUCCAGACGACGUGCUCAACAUCUUCCCCAUUGUCAAGCACGUCACUAUGACGACACAUGAUGCCUCGCGAGCAUUCCGAGCU